AGGGGUGGCGUAGGCGGCCUGUUAAGUCAGGGGUGAAAGACGGUAGCUCAACUAUCGCAGUGCCCUUGAUACUGAUGGGCUUGAAUGGACUAGAGGUAGGCGGAAUGAGACAAGUAGCGGUGAAAUGCAUAGAUAUGUCUCAGAACACCGAUUGCGAAGGCAGCUUACUAUGGUCUUAUUGACGCUGAGGCACGAAAGCGUGGGGAUCAAACAGGAUUAGAUACCCCAGU
rnacentral:rRNA from 1 species